UGGGGAAUAUUGCACAAUGGGCGCAAGCCUGAUGCAGCCAUGCCGCGUGUAUGAAGAAGGCCUUCGGGUUGUAAAGUACUUUCAGCGAGGAGGAAGGCGUUGUGGUUAAUAACCGCAGCGAUUGACGUUACUCGCAGAAGAAGCACCGGCUAACUCCGUGCCAGCAGCCGCGGUAAUACGGAGGGUGCAAGCGUUAAUCGGAAUUACUGGGCGUAAAGCGCACGCAGGCGGUCUGUCAAGUCGGAUGUGAAAGCCCCGGGCUCAACCUGGGAACUGCAUCCGAAACUGGCAGGCUAGAGUCUUGUAGAGGGGGGUAGAAUUCCAGGUGUAGCGGUGAAAUGCGUAGAGAUCUGGAGGAAUACCGGUGGCGAAGGCGGCCCCCUGGACAAAGACUGACGCUCAGGUGCGAAAGCGUGGGGAGCAAACA
rnacentral:rRNA from 1 species